rnacentral:rRNA from 1 species
GACGAACGCUGGCGGCGUGCUUAACACAUGCAGGUCGAACGAUGAAGCCGGAGCUUGCUCUGGUGAAUUAGUGGCGAACGGGUGAGUAACACGUGAGUAACCUGCCCUUGACUCUGGGAUAACUGCGGGAAACUGUAGCUAAUACCGGAUACGACCCUCGGAGGCAUCUCCUGGGGGUGGAAAGAAUUUCGGUCAAGGAUGGACUCGCGGCCUAUCAGCUAGUUGGUGAGGUAAAGGCUCACCAAGGCGACGACGGGUAGCCGGCCUGAGAGGGUGACCGGCCACACUGGGACUGAGACACGGCCCAUACUCCUACGGGAGGCAGCAGUGGGGAAUAUCGCACAAUGGGCGCAAGCCUGAUGCAGCAACGCCGCGUGAGGGAUGACGACCUUCGGGUUGUAAACCUCUUUUAGCAGGGAAGAAGCGAAAGUGACGGUACCUGCAGAAAAAGCACCGGCUAACUACGUGCCAGCCGCCGCAGUAA